AUUCAGGUCAAUCAUUGUCAACCUGUUUAUUUUUCAACAUGAAAAAGGGUAAGCAAGUCAGCUGAAUGAUGCAAGCAAGUAGCACAGUAAAUAUAAGCACACCAGAAUCAGAAGAAUAGUAUCCAUUUGUUUCUUUCAGGAAACAUUUUGAGCAUAAUUACAUAGCCUUUUUGUGUAUCAUAAUUUUUCUUCUCUCUUUUAAAUGUAGGCAACUCUUUUUUCUAUCUGCAUGCCAUCCAAGGUUUUUUGAUAAAGCUAGUGUCCUUUCAGAGUCAUUAAGAUCGAGCAUGGAAUUCACACCAAAAUCAGAGAGAGCAGCAGCCUUUUUAUGUUAGAACUUUAAAACAGCAGCAAUUAUGGGCAACAAUGUUGUGCCUUUUAUGUGCAGUACUUGUGUUUCACCUAUCUUCCGCACUAGCAACAAAACUAUUGUGCUCUUUUAUGUUCAAUGUGUUCCGUAUCCGCGUAUUUGUGUUUCAAGCGAUGUAAAAGCUGAGAUAAAAUAGUUUUCAUGGGGGGUUUCUCUGUAUAGGAAAAUUUUCUUGUCCUUUAUUUUUUGCAGGAUCAAAAUAUCAAGUUUUUAUCUAUCUGCGCAAGCAUGGGAAGACAACACUUUUUUGCAAAAACACCAGUUAUAACUGAAGGGAAGCAGCAAACCAAAGACAUGUUGGAUGAACAAGAGUAACUCUGUACAGGAGGAUAGCAUAAGGGCAAAAAUAAGGGAAAAGGGCUAUGAAGGUUUCUAGAUCUGGGAUGGUGGAACUGGCCCCUUUUCUUACUUUCUUGCUUGGGGGAGAAGAAGAUGCCGUGAAGAGGGUCUGACUGCGGGCGCCUCAAGGCUGAGGGAAAGCGGGGCUGGGGGCUGGUGGGGGUUCAGAAAUCACGUGAGAGGGUUGGCGGGGCUGGGAGCUGGCGGGGGACCAGGUUUUCCAGCAGGAGGGUUCUCUCUCCCUAGACGCGUCCUUAUUUUACGACUAUGUUUUACCGGCCGCUCAGCAAUUCUCGGCAGGAAACAAAACAGCGACCCGAGGUUUGUAUUCUUUACGGGUGUAUUUGAAAAGAACACGACAAUCCAAACAGGGCCAAAAGUUGU